CAACUUGAAGAGAAAGAAAAGUUUGUUCAGAGGCGGCGGGGGAGGGGCGGGUAGGCGCGCGGAGCCGCGCGGCCCCCUCCCCCUCCUCGGCCCGAGGUCCGGCCGCCCCUGCCCCCCACCUAUGCUCGCAGGGACGACGCCUCCCAAGUCCCGGAGUGGUCCUGCACCCCCUCCAAGGGAUCCUAGAAGACCUGGCAUGGUGGCACAUACCUGUAAUCUCAGCAUUCAAGAGGCUGAAACAAGAGGAUCACUUGGAGUUCAAGGCCUGCCUGGGCUACAAACUGAGUUCAAGUCCAACCUGAACUGCAUAGUGAAACUAUCUCAAAAAAGACCAAAAUAGAAAAAUAAGAACAACCCUGACACAAAGCUAGUACAAUAAAAAAGAUCACAGCAGAAAUCAAUGAAAUUGAGGCCAAAAAAAAAAAAAAUACAAAGGUGGGGGGGGGGGGGCUGGGAACACUGCUCUGAGCCAGUAAGGCCACACCCAGCAGCCCAAAUCACCAGAGGACCCACCGGAGGUCCCUGCAGGCCUAUCUGGGCCACACCCAGCAACCCCAAGGCGGCCAGCAACUGCCUGCAUUCCACCUCGCAAGGGGAAGGUGCACGAGGUGAUUUCCAGUGCAUGAGGAAGAUCUGGAGCAUCGCUCAGAGCCUGAUAAGGCUCUGCCCUGCAUCCCAAAUAACCGAAGGACAUACCGGAGGUCCCUGCGGGCCUUCUGGGCCAUGCCUGGAAACCCCUGGGUGGUCAGCGGCUGCCUAUUUCCACCUUACAGGCCGAAAGUGCAUGAGGUGAUUUCCAGUGCAUAGGGAAGCUUUGGUGCAUUGCUCCGAGCCUGGAAAUAAAGGAAAAUGACAAAAAGAGCAAAAUGCAAUCUCAAACCUCCAUCCCAUUCCAAGCAAGCCUAGGAGACAUGGACAUAGAAGAAAAUGUAAGCCGUACACCUGAAACUCCUGAAAUGAUAGCAACUAAAGUAAAGAAACAACUCCAAGAAGCUAUAAAAGAACUCAGAUCAGAAAUAAUCUCCCAGGUAAAAGAAAAAAUGAUAAAUGUAAUAAAAGAAAUGCUGAACACAUCUAAAGAAAGCAUAGCUUAAAAAAUUAGAGGAACAAUGUAAAAAGAUGGGAACCUUGAAUAAACAAUAUAAGAAACAGAAUGCAUGAAGCAGAUUUAAAGAUAUACAGAAAAUCAAAAGUUCCAUCCAAAGUUGCCAAAACUGCCUCAACGAAUGUGAAGAUAGAAUUUCAGACCUCGAAGACAAGAUUGCAGCUAGUGAACAGGAAAGGAAAGAUCUUUUAAAAAUAACAAGGAAUCAGGAAAUAACAAUUCAACAGCUGCAAGAUGAUGCAAAGAAAGACAACGCAAUAUUGAUAGGAAUAAACGAAAAAGAAGACAACAGCACAAAUGACAUCAGGAGGCUAUUUACAGAAAUAAGCGCUGAAAAUUUCCCAAACAUGAGAAUGGAAACUGGAAUACAGAUAAGUGAAGCAUCUAGAAUUCCAAAUAGCCAUAACCAAAAUAAGACUACACCCAGACAUAUAAUAAUCAACAUUCCAGAAACCCAACAUAAAAACAGACUAUUAAAAGCUGUUACAGAGAAGAGACAGAUCACCUAAAAAGAAAGCCUCUCAGAAUUAUAGCAGACUUCUUAGCACAAACAAUGAAAUCAAGAAGAGCAUGGAGUGAAGUAUUUCAGAUCCUAAAGGAAAAUGACUUCCAACCCAGAUUGAUGUGCCCUGAAAAAUGGUCCUUCAAAAUGGAUGGAGAAAUAAGAUACUUCCAUGACAAAGAACAGCUGAAGAACUUCAUGACCACCAAAACCACCCUGCAAAUACUGAAAGACUUUCUAAAUAAACAGGAAAAACCACUACGUAAGGCAAGCAGCUAAACAGAGUGGAAAGGUAAAGAAACAAUAGCAGAAAGAUAACAUGUCAAAAAUAAACCAAUAUAUAUCAGUUAUAACCAUUAAUGUAAAUGGCCUCAAUUCACCAAUUAAGAGAAACAGAAUGGUGAAAUGCAGUAUGGAUCAAGAAACAACACCCAACCAUAUGCUGUAUACAAAAAACCAUCUAAUCCAAAAGGAAACUCAUAGACUGAAAGUCAAAGGAUGGAAAACAAUACUUCAUGCAACAGGAACUCCAAAAAAGCAGGGGUAGCUAUUCUGUUUGCAGACAAUGUGAACUUCAAACCAAGAAUGAUCAAGAGAGAUAGAGAAGAUCACUACAUACUAGUUAGAGGAAAACGUCAAAAGGAAGAGAUAACAAUCUUAAAUAUCUAUGCACCAAAUUCAGAAGCACACAAUUAUACAAAAAAAAUAAUUAACAGAAAUGAAAAAUCAAGUAAACAAUAACACAAUUAUAACAGGAGACUUUAACACAUCAUUACACAAAGGGACAAAUCAACUAGACAGAAAGUCAGCAAAGAAAUAACAGAACUGAAUCAUACCUGGGAAUAAAUGGACUUGGUGGGUGUAUACAGAGUGUUCCACCCAGCAACAUCAUAAUAUACAUUCUUCUCAGCAGCAUAUGAGACAUUAUCUAAAAUAGACCAUAUGCUAGCCCACAGAACAUUAAGUAAAUGCAAAAGAAAUUAUCCCAUGCAUGUUAUUGGAUCAUAGCACCAUGAAACUAGAAAUUAAUGACAAAAGAAAGUGCAAAAACCCCACAAACACAAGGAAAUUGAAUAAUACACUCCUGAGCAAUCAGUGAGUUACAGAGGAAAUUAAAGAAGAAAUUAAACAAUAUCUACAAGCAAAUGAAAAUACAAAUACAACUUACCGGAACCUGUGGGAUGCAAUGAAGGCAGUCCUCAGAGGAAAAUUUAUUGUGGUGAAUUCCCACAUCAGGAACACAGAACGAACACAAACAACCUGAUGCUACACCUCAAGCAUCUAGAAAAAGAAUGGCAAGUAAAGCCCAAAACCAAAAGAAGACAAGAAAUUAUAAAAAUCAGAGCAGAAAUCAGUACAACAGAGACUAAGAAAACAAUACAAAGAAUAAGUGAAUCAGAGUUGGUGCUUUGAAAGAUAAAUAAAAUUGAUAAGCCCCUAGCCAACCUUAUUUUAAAAAAGGAAAGGAAAAAACUCAAAUUCAUGCAAUUAGGAACGAAAAGGAUAAAAUCACUACAUACCCUGUGGAAAUACAGAAGAGGUUUUUGAAAUAGGUAUUCAUGAUCUUCUAUAUUUCCACAGGGUGUGUAGUGAUUUUAUCCUUUUCAUGCAUAAAAUAUUGGCAAAUAGAAUGUGGCAAAUCAUCAAAAAGAUACACCACAACCAAAUGGGAUUCAUCUCAGGAAUGCAGGGAUGGCUCAACAUACACAAAUCAAUAAAUGUAAUCCACCAUAUCAAUAGAACCAAAACUAAGAAUCACAUGAUCAUUUCUUUUUUUUUUUUUUUUUUUUUUUGGUGGUACCGGGAAUUGAACUCAUGACCUCACACUUGCCAGGCAGACAUAUUAUGCCACUGAGCUAAAUCCCCAGCCCCUCGUAUGAUCAUUUCUAUAGAUACAGAAAAAGCUUUUGAUAAGGUCCAACACUUAUUCAUAAUAAGAGCCUUACAGAAAAUUGGAAUAGAUGGUCUUUACCUAAUAUGAUAAAAGCCAUCUAUGACAAACCAACAGCCAGCAUUAUAUUAAACGGCCAAACACUGAAAGCCUUUACCCUAAAAUCAGGAGCAAGACAAGGAUGUCCCUUAUCAUCAUUCCUAUUCAAUAUAGUGCUGUAAAUACUAGCCAGAGUAAUUAGACAAGAGAGAAAUAAAAGGAGUAAGGAUAAGAAAAGAAGUUAAAUUAUCAUUAUUUGUAGAUGACAUGAUACUCUACGUAGAAGAUCCUCAAAACUCCAUUGAUAUUUUUUUUUUUGUACCUGAGAUUGAACUCACAACCUUGCACUUGCCAGGCAGGUGCUUAUGCCACUGAGCUAAGUCUCUAGCCCCCCAAAACUUCAUUGAAAGACUCCUAGGUAUAAUAAAUAAAUUCAGUUAUGUAGCUGGGUACAAAGUCAACAUUCAAAAAUCAAUAGCAUUCCUAUACACAAACAACAAAAUCACAGAGAGAAAUAAGAGAAGCCACAAUCUUCACAAUAGCAUCCAAAAAAAUGAAAUACUUAGGAAUAAAUCUAACAAAAGAAGUAAAAGAUCUAUUCAGGGAAAAUUAUAAUAUCCUGAAAAAAAGAAAUCAAAGAGGACCUCAGAAAAUGGAAAGACAUCCCUUGUUCAUGGAUAGGAAGAACAAAUAUUGUGAAAAUGGCCAUUCUCCCAAAAUUGUUAUACAGAUUUAAUGCAAUCCCAAUCAAAAUACCACUAGCAUACCUCACAGAUCUAGAGAAAUCAUUCCUAAAAUUUAUCUGAAACCAGAAAAGACCUAGAAUAGUAAAGGCAAUCCUGAGCAACAAAGGCAAGGCAGGAGGUAUCACAAUCUCUGACUUGAAGGUAUACUACAAAGCUACUGUAAUAAAAUCAGCAUGGUACUGAAAUAAAAACAGCCCUGAAGAUCAAUGGAAUAGAUUAGAAGAUACAACUACAACUAUAAACACACACAGCCACCUCAUCUUUGAUAAAGGGGCCAAAUACGUUCACUGGAAGAAAGAUAGUCUAUUUAAUAAAUGGUGCUGGAGGGGCUGGGGAUUUAGCUCAGUGACAUAAGCACCUGCAGAAACACUAAAUCUUCUGGAAGACAAAGUAGGUAGAAAUAUUGAAGACAUAUCCAUAGGUAGAGAAUUCAUGAACAAAAACCAAACCACACUGGAAAUACUUCCCAGAAUCAAUAACUGAGAUCACAUCUUAUUAAAGUUUUUGCAUGUCGAAAGAAAUCUCCAGCAUAGUGAAAAGACAACCCAAAAAUUAUGGAAAAAAAUCUUAGCCAACUGUUUCUCAGACAAAGGACUUUUGUCUAGAACAUAUAAAGAAUUAAAAAAAAUCAGACCCCUGAAAUUCAAAGACCCAAUCCAAAAAUGGGCAUCUGAGAUGAAUACACAGUUCUCAGAUGAAGAAAUAAAAAUGGCAAAUAAAUACAUGAAAAAAUGUUCAUCAUCAUUAGUCAUUAGAGAAAUGCAAAUUAAAACCACACUGAGAUUCCAUCUCACUCCAGAAAGAAUAGCCAGGAUCAAGAAAACUACCAACAACAAAUGCUGGAGAGGCUGUGGGGUAAAAGGAACUCUUCUGCACUGUUAGUGGGAGUGUAGACUGGUGCAACCACUGUGGAGGUCAGUUUGGAGGUUCCUCAAACAGCUGGGAUUGGAAGUCCUAUUUGACCCAGCUCUUCCACUUCUGGGCAUAUUCCCAAAAGAAUUGAAAACAUCAUAUCACAGUGAUAUAUGUACAUACAUGUUUAUAGCAGCACAAUUUGUAAUCGCCAGAUCUUGGAAACAACCUAAAUGCCCAUCAACUGAGGAAUGGAUAAAAAAGAUGUGGUAUUUUUAUACAAUGGAGUACUACUCAGCUAUAAAGAAUGAUCACAUUGAGAUAUUUAUAAAUAAAUGGAUGCAACUUGAGACCAUAAUCAUAAAUGAAAUAAAUCAAACUCACAUGUGUAAAUACCAUAUCAUCUUCCUAGUGUAAGAAAUGGUAAGAGUACAUACAUAAGAUACAAAAUCCUCAAUAAAUACAGUGAAAGGAUAAGAAUCUGCUUAAAGGGGAAAAAUAAUAUCUCAGGGAAAAGGAAGAACAAGAAAAAGGAAGGGAAACGAAAAAACAUCUAAAAUUGUAUAAACACACUUUAGAUGGCUAAGAUGAUUGUGCUACAAAUUCUGUAAGUUCUUGAAACAAAACAGUUAACAUUCAUAGGAUUGGAACAAUUUUGCAUGUUAGUGUCUGGUGAUCUAAGGAACUCUUGAAGAUCAUUAUGUAAAAUAACAACCUGGUUAUGCUCCUACCACCUUGUUUUGAAGGCCUAUAUCAUCAUUGUUUUGGGCUCUUUGCUAUUGUUAUUUUUCUUUUUUGUUUCAUGUUUUUCUAGUAAUUUGUUUUGUUUUGUUUUUGCCUCUAAUACAGAAAGGAUAGAUAUACAUGUAGAGGCUUAUACAUGCAUAGAACUUCCCCUAAACAGUUUAUAAGAAUCGGUUAUAUUAUGCAUGAUGAAAUGAACAGCUACUUUGAAGAAAAGACAUUAUGGUAUCCACUGCUGAUUCCGUAUUGUCAUGCUGUGAAAUCCAGUGAUGCUUUUAUUCUUUUCCAGAGUGAUUUUAGUCUGUUUUGUUUUGCUUAAUUUCUACAUACAUGAAGGUAUGGACAUCUAUUUUGAAGAGAACAAAGACAUUAUGGCAGCCAUUGUUGAUUUCCCUAUUGUCUGGUUUUGAAGGCCUGUAAUGCCUUCAUCACUCUAUUCUGAUCAGUUUAAUACUAUUUUGUUUUGUAUGAAUUCAUUGUGUGUGAAGAUAUUGGACAACUAUUUAGAAGAAAACAAGAGACAUUAUCGUAGCCACUAUACAUCUCCUGUUGUCUUGCUUUGAAAUCUGUGUCACUUACAUUAUUUUCUUCUCAUCCUCUUUGUUCUAUUUUGUUAUGUUUGGUUUUAUCCUCUUUAAAAUAAAAUAAUAAAAAAUACAAAGAAUCAA